UUAUAGCAUUUAUUCAAACAGAUGGUGAAUUAGGAUACUUAGUAGAUGGAGUAUCUAUUCAAAUGCAUCAGCCAUUAUCGGCAGAUGCUACUACAGUAAGUUUUACAGACUUAGAAGAUGAGACACUUAAAACAUAUGAAAGUCCUAUAGUUUUUGAGCCUCCUUCUUUAGAUUUUCAUUCACAGUAAGUUGUAUUACACUUAUAUCUUAAAACUUAUAAAUCAUCUUUCCUGGAGAUUUUAAAGUGGAACUUGUAACAUUUAAUCGCAUGAAUCGUGUUUUGUAAU